AAUAAUUUACAUGUUGCUAUUCUAAUAUUUAUUGUCCAGCCAACUUUGUGACUUCUGAUUGGCCCUCCAGGUUCGCUAUCUCCGAUGAGGCUUCUAGUUUCUUCAAACCAUCUUCACGGUAGUUGCUAAUAUCAAAGUUAGUCACAGAUAACUUGGUGACUUCUGAUUGGCCCUCCAGGUUCACUACCUAGGAUGCGCCAUCUAGUUUCUUCAAACCAUCUUCGCAGUGUUUGCUAAUAUCAAAAUUGGUCACAGCUAACUUAGUGACUUCUGAUUGGUCCUCCAGGUUCACUACCACGGAUGAGCCUUCUAGUUUCUUCAAACCUUCUUCGGAGUAGUUGCUGACAUCAAAGUUGGUCACAGCAUGAACACCACGGAGCUGAAUUGCUGCUAGGUCAUACGCUUCAGCUGCCUCCACUUCAG
rnacentral:lncRNA from 1 species